rnacentral:lncRNA from 1 species
CAAACUUCAUCCUCCACCCUUAUCUCCCGUCCUUUUCAAGGCACUGGCGACAGGCCACUGCAUUUCCUUCCUCGUCUGCAGCCUCUCUUCCCCCUCAAAUACUUCACGUCAGCCCCCUCAUCUUCAUCCUCUCUUCCUCUAAAAAACGUGUUAAUUAAAAUGUAGUUUCCUCUGCCCACAUAUGAAGUGUGGCAAACGAAUCGCAUUCUUGGCACACACUGCAAUUCAUUUAUCCUCCUUUUCUCUCUCCACUGGACUAAAGCUAUAGAAAUUUUAGUCUGCCACUAUCUCCCAUUUUUCUUAAAAAAAAAAUUAUCCUGACCAUGCCUUAUUAUUUUUAAAUACUCCUCAACAUUCGUGGGGAAGUCUUGCUAAGGCUUAAGGAAAAAAAGAUAUUUAGGAAACGCUCAGCCCGUCAUUUUAUUUGCCAUUUUAAAAUAUCUGCAGUGUUUGAGAGAGAGAUUGGGAGUGGCUGUGUUUUCUUCAUUUAAAAAGAAAAAAAUGCUUUGCAUGCAUCAAGGCUAGCCUUUUUAUGCAUACCCCCCCCAAAAAAAGUACUGUAGGAGCAUGUAUCAUUUAAUAGCCUGUACUGCACAGGACGUGUGCCAGACAGAACUGUAGACCCCAGCCCACCUCCAAAGGACGACAGAUUCACAUAACGUUUUCAGCAUGGCUGAUGAAGAGCGCAUUCCACGACCAUUCCCUUUCCCACGGUUCCUAAACAAAACGGAUGUGGGAAACAAGGAAAUCCAGAGAAGCAAAAUCGGGACAAUUUAGGAAGAGAGCUGGUGUUAAAGCUGAGGGCCCAUUCUCCACACAGAAGCAAGGAGCGGUUGCUGUUUGUGAAAGCAAAACAUAACAACAAUAUCCAGAUACAAAACAAGAUGGAUUCUGCACGUCCAGUUGUCUUGUUUAAGAUGCAAGCAGUAGGAGAUUGUCAUUUUCACCAUUGAAAUGUGGAGCACUGUUUUGAACCUUUGUGGGGGACUUACCAUGGGUGGGAGCUAUUGCAAUCUAUUUUAUUACUCAUUUAACCCUUAGCUCGCCAUCUGCAUCACCCUACUAUGCCCACUUAACAACACUGCAAUGGAGGCAUAGAGUGAUUUGCAUGAGAUCAAAGGGGAAGUCAGGGAAUAGCAGAUGUUGGAUUUUGAAUUCCUGAAACACAGUGGCCCCAGAACCCUGCAUUUCAACCCCUUUCAUUCCACCUUCUAACACUCUUUGGCAGUUGGGUGAGUCAGAUCCUGGCCCGUCCGUCUACCCAUGCUCAAGGUUCUCUCUGACUAUUUAAAGCUACAUUAAAAAAAAAAAAAAAAACUCCCUGAAGGAGGUAGUCAAAAUAAAUAGAAUUUCUGAGAUUCA